rnacentral:rRNA from 1 species
CCAAUAGCGUAUAUUAAAGUUGCUGCAGUUAAAAAGCUCGUAGUUGAAUUUCGGGAUCAAUUUGUCGGUCGUGCCUCGGUACGUACUGGCUUAUUGGUUUCUCCCUUCUGACGAACCAUGAUGUCAUUUAUUUGGUGUUGUGGGAAAUCAGGACUGUUACUUUGAAAAAAUUAGAGUGUUUAAAGCAGGCUCACGCUUGAAUACAUUAGCAUGGAAUAAUGAAAUAGGACGUUUGACUCUAUUUUGUUGGUUUCUAGGAUCGACGUAAUGAUUAAUAGGGAUAGUUGGGGACAUUAGUAUUCAAUUGUCAGAGGUGAAAUUCUUGGAUUUAUUGAAGACUAACUACUGCGAAAGCAUUUGUCAAGGAUGUUUUCAUUAAUCAAGAACGAAAGUUAGGGGAUCGAAGACGAUCAGAUACCGUCGUAGUCUUAACCAUAAACUAUGCCGACUAGGGAUCGGAUGAUGUUAAUUUUUUAAUGACUCAUUCGGCGCCUUACG